rnacentral:rRNA from 1 species
GUUGAACGCUGGCGGCAUGCUUUACACAUGCAAGUCGAACGGCAGCACGGGGGCAACCCUGGUGGCUCGUGGCGCACGGGUGAGUAAUACAUCGGAACGUGCCCGGUCGGGGGGGAUAACGUAGCGAAAGUUACGCUAAUACCGCCUACUAUCUGAGGAUGAAAGCGGGGGACCUUCGGGCCUCGCGCGAUCGGAGCGGCCGAUGUCAGUGUAGGUAGUUGGUUGGGUGGAGGCCUACCAAGCCGACGAUCUGUAGGUGGUCUGCGAGGACGACCAGCCACACUGGGACUGAGACACGCACCAGACUCCUACGGGAGGCAGCAGUGGGGAAUGUUGGACAAUGGGCGCAAGCAUGAUCCAGCCAUCCCGCGUGCAGGACGAAGGCCUUCGGGUUGUAAUCUGCUUUUGUAUGGAACGAAAAGGCUCUGGCUAAUACCUGGGGCUCAUGACGGUACCGGAAGAAUAAGCACCGGCUAACUACGUG